rnacentral:rRNA from 1 species
GCUUAAGGCCAUACCACCCUGAGCACGCCCGAUCUCGUCUGAUCUCGGAAGCUAAGCAGGGUCGGGCCUGGUUAGUACUUGGAUGGGAGACCGCCUGGGAAUACCAGGUGCUGUAAGCU